rnacentral:rRNA from 1 species
UCGGGAAUCUUGGGCAAUGGGCGCAAGCCUGACCCAGCGACGCCGCGUGAGGGAUGAAGGCCUUCGGGUUGUAAACCUCUUUUAUCAGGGAAGAUAAUGACGGUACCUGAUGAAUAAGUCACGGCUAACUACGUGCCAGCAGCCGCGGUAAUACGUAGGUGACAAGCGUUGUCCGGAUUUACUGGGCGUAAAGAGCGCGCAGGCGGUCGUUCAAGUCGAGUGUGAAAGCCCCCGGCUCAACUGGGGAGGUCAUUCGAUACUGAUCGACUCGAAGGCAGGAGAGGGUAGUGGAAUUCCCGGUGUAGUGGUGAAAUGCGUAGAUAUCGGGAGGAACACCAGUGGCGAAGGCGACUACCUGGCCUGUUCUUGACGCUGAGGCGCGAAAGCUAGGGGAGCAAACGGGAUUAGAUACCCCGGUAGUCCUAGCCGUAAACGAUGGACACUAGGUGUUGGUGGUAUCAACCCGCAGUGCCGAAGCUAACGCAUUAAG